CCGAGUGCGGGUCCUCGUGGCCCAACCUCCCACCCUUGUCUCUAUACACCUGUUGCUUUGGCGGGCCCACCGGGGCCACCCGGUCGCCGGGGGACGCUCGUCCCCGGGCCCGCGCCCGCCGAAGCACCCUAAGAACCCUGAUGAAGAUGGGCUGUCUGAGUGAUAUGAAAAUUGUCA
rnacentral:misc_RNA from 1 species